rnacentral:rRNA from 1 species
UACGUAGGGCGCAAGCGUUGUCCGGAAUUAUUGGGCGUAAAGAGCUCGUAGGUGGCUUGUUGCGUCUGCCGUGAAAGCCCGUGGCUUAACUACGGGUCUGCGGUGGAUACGGGCAGGCUAGAGGCUGGUAGGGGCAAGCGGAAUUCCUGGUGUAGCGGUGAAAUGCGCAGAUAUCAGGAGGAACACCGGUGGCGGAGGCGGCUUGCUGGGCCAGUUCUGACGCUGAGGAGCGAAAGCGUGGGGAGCGAACAGG